CAUCUUCCUCUCUUUCCCAGUAAUUUUCAAUAAUGGUUCCAUCCUCAACCACCUUGUAUCCGAUUCCCAUUCGAUACCUGUUUUUGUGCACGUUACGUGCCAUUGCAAUCGUCUGGUCAACAAAAGGCUCCCAUGAGAGUGUACCAUCCAUGAUCACAUCUCUACCUUCGUUCAACGCAGUAACUAGCAGAGAUGAUGCAGCAUCAGUUGAUGAUUG
rnacentral:misc_RNA from 1 species